ACUGACUUCUACAAGAAAUUAGUCUGGGACUCUUUUGGCCAGCAGGUAGCUGUUGUUCCUUCUCAGUGGACAGCACUUGGGUUUGACUUCUCUGGGCUAUAUUUCUUUGUAUUCAGCAAACAGUGUCUAUAACUAUAUCUCUUACCACCAUCAGCACAAUCCAGUGGAAGUACAGAGGCUACAGAAAGAACAUUAGGCUCACCUUACUCGGAAAAACUGGCUUUGAGGCAGCCAUGAGGAUCUGGUGCACAAAAGGUCUUUCCAUUUAUCCUUUCCAUGGAGACUAUUUUUUGUUCAGUCAACAGACUUACUGCCAUUGUCCAGUGUAAUCUCAGGUGCUAGAUCAGAUGUCUGUAGAAGAGAGUCUUACUGACACUUGGUUGGUUUCUUUUCAGUCAGCACUCUUGUAUCUGUCUAGCAAAGGUGAACAAAGAAUUCACAUUCAUUCUUAGUGUUUGCCAGUAGUUUUAGCUCUGAACGAAGUCUACCUUGGAGGUGAUAGCCAAGAAAUGUCAGGGUUAUUGUCCAGCGUGGUUGCGCAUGGGUCUGCUCCUGCCAGCCUGAGUGAUGCUGCAGAUGCCCUAGUGAGUGCCCCUCAUAGAUGCUUUUUCAGCAGCUUGUCCUUCAGUCCUAAGUAAACAGCAUGCUGGAAUCAAGCUUCCUUUUGUGGCUUUUGCCACUCCUUGUGUUGACCCUUAUUACACAGAAAUCAUUCCAAACUGGAACAAAUGCACAUCUAGAUGGACACAUUUUUUGCUAUGUGCCUCAUGAAAUAGUUGCCCCUGGCUUACCGUAUACUCACAACUUAUCCCAGUUUGUAUAGAGCUGGAAAUUUCUCAGACAAGAGAGCAUUCAGCAUCAGUGAUAGAAACAUACCUCAGCCCUUGCCUUUUAGCUUUUAGUGGAGAAGCUGAGCAGGUUUAAUUUCCUCAUGGCUGCAGGCUCCAUAGUGAUGCUUUGGGUUGGAAAACAUUAUAGACAAGAUUUUCUCAGCCAAGUUCCAGGAUUUCAAAUCUGUGCAUCAAUUCCAUAGACUGUGACAGAACUUCUAGAACUUAAUAGGCCAGAAUCUUCCAAAACAAUAAGUUUCAUCUCUAGGCUUAGAGAGCAGAAACCAUUUUCCCAUUGUGGAGUAAGGAGUGAGAGUCCAGUGAGAGGAACUUUCCUUCAAAAAAUGGCAGAAGACAGAAUCUGCAUUAUCAUAUUAUGAA
rnacentral:lncRNA from 1 species